rnacentral:rRNA from 1 species
UGGCUCAGAUUGAACGCUGGCGGCAGGCCUAACACAUGCAAGUCGAACGGUAACAGGAAGCAGCUUGCUGCUUCGCUGACGAGUGGCGGACGGGUGAGUAAUGUCUGGGAAACUGCCUGAUGGAGGGGGAUAACUACUGGAAACGGUAGCUAAUACCGCAUAACGUCGCAAGACCAAAGAGGGGGACCUUCGGGCCUCUUGCCAUCAGAUGUGCCCAGAUGGGAUUAGCUAGUAGGUGGGGUAACGGCUCACCUAGGCGACGAUCCCUAGCUGGUCUGAGAGGAUGACCAGCCACACUGGAACUGAGACACGGUCCAGACUCCUACGGGAGGCAGCAGUGGGGAAUAUUGCACAAUGGGCGCAAGCCUGAUGCAGCCAUGCCGCGUGUAUGAAGAAGGCCUUCGGGUUGUAAAGUACUUUCAGCGGGGAGGAAGGCGAUGCGGUUAAUAACCGCGUCGAUUGACGUUACCCGCAGAAGAAGCACCGGCUAACUCCGUGCCAGC